rnacentral:rRNA from 1 species
AUGUAAUGUAAUUCCUACAACGUUAAUGCACUGGAUCCCAUUAGAACUUCACAAUUAAGCGUGCUUGGAAUAUAGUAGUACUGGGAUGGGUGACCUCCUGGGAAGUCCUAUUGUUUUACAUG